rnacentral:rRNA from 1 species
AGCCUAAUACAUGCAAGUCGAGCGAUGGAUUGAGAGCUUGCUCUCAAGAAGUUAGCGGCGGACGGGUGAGUAACACGUGGGUAACCUGCCCAUAAGACUGGGAUAACUCCGGGAAACCGGGGCUAAUACCGGAUAACAUUUUGAACUGCAUGGUUCGAAAUUGAAAGGCGGCUUCGGCUGUCACUUAUGGAUGGACCCGCGUCGCAUUAGCUAGUUGGUGAGGUAACGGCUCACCAAGGCAACGAUGCGUAGCCGACCUGAGAGGGUGAUCGGCCACACUGGGACUGAGACACGGCCCAGACUCCUACGGGAGGCAGCAGUAGGGAAUCUUCCGCAAUGGACGAAAGUCUGACGGAGCAACGCCGCGUGAGUGAUGAAGGCUUUCGGGUCGUAAAACUCUGUUGUUAGGGGAGAACAAGUGCUAGUUGAAUAAGCUGGCCACCUUGACGGUACCUAACCAGAAAGCCACGGCUAACUACGUGCCAGCAGCCGCGGUUAUACGUAGGUGGCAAGCGUUAUCCGGAAUAUUGGGCGUAAAGCGCGCGGCAGGUGGUUUCNUUAAG